UCCCUGGAGGACUAGUGGUUAGGCCACUGCGCUCUCACUGCUGUUAUCCUGGUUCAAUCCCCGGUCAGGGAA
rnacentral:tRNA from 1 species